rnacentral:rRNA from 1 species
UUGCACCCUGGCGGCAGGCCUCACACAUGCAAGUCGAGCGGAUGAAGGGAGCUUGCUCCUGGAUUCAGCGGCGGACGGGUGAGUAAUGCCUAGGAAUCUGCCUGGUAGUGGGGGAUAACGUCCGGAAACGGGCGCUAAUACCGCAUACGUCCUGAGGGAGAAAGUGGGGGAUCUUCGGACCUCACGCUAUCAGAUGAGCCUAGGUCGGAUUAGCUAGUUGGUGGGGUAAAGGCCUACCAAGGCGACGAUCCGUAACUGGUCUGAGAGGAUGAUCAGUCACACUGGAACUGAGACACGGUCCAGACUCCUACGGGAGGCAGCAGUGGGGAAUAUUGGACAAUGGGCGAAAGCCUGAUCCAGCCAUGCCGCGUGUGUGAAGAAGGUCUUCGGAUUGUAAAGCACUUUAAGUUGGGAGGAAGGGCAGUAAGUUAAUACCUUGCUGUUUUGACGUUACCAACAGAAUAAGCACCGGCUAACUUCGUG